UACUGAGACACGGACCAAACUCCUACGGGAGGCAGCAGUGAGGAAUAUUGGUCAAUGGACGGAAGUCUGAACCAGCCAUGCCGCGUGCAGGAUGACGGCUCUAUGAGUUGUAAACUGCUUUUGUACGAGGGUAAACCCGAAUACGUGUAUUCGGCUGAAAGUAUCGUACGAAUAAGGAUCGGCUAACUCCGUGCCAGCAGCCGCGGUAAUACGGAGGAUCCAAGCGUUAUCCGGAUUUAUUGGGUUUAAAGGGUGCGUAGGCGGUCAGAUAAGUUAGAGGUGAAAUUCCGGUGCUUAACACCGGCGCUGCCUCUAAUACUGUUUGACUAGAGAGUAGUUGCGGUAGGCGGAAUGUAUGGUGUAGCGGUGAAAUGCUUAGAGAUCAUACAGAACACCGAUUGCGAAGGCAGCUUACCAAGCUAUAUCUGACGUUGAGGCACGAAAGCGUGGGGAGCAAACAGGAUUAGAUACCCUGGUAGUCCACGCAGUAAACGAUGAUAACUCGUUGUCGGCGAUACAAUGUCGGUGACUAAGCGAAAGCGAUAAGUUAUCCACCUGGGGAGUACGUUCGCAAGAAUGAAACUCAAAGGAAUUGACGGGGGCCCGCACAAGCGGAGGAACAUGUGGUUUAAUUCGAUGAUACGCGAGGAACCUUACCCGG
rnacentral:rRNA from 1 species